AUGCCCUCCUGGGCAGGGCACGCGCGCCCCUCUGCGCUCGGCUGCCGCCCCUCCGCGCUUUCCCGCCGCCGCCACGCGCCUGGGUGGCCACUGAGGCUCCCGGCCUCCUGGUCAACCAGCACGGAGCCGAUGCAUCGACACCAACGCGGGAUCCGUCUGCCCUUCUCGCUCGCUAUCACGGGAGAAUUGCUGCUGCUGAUCCCUACCUCCACCCCCAAACCACACCCGUCCAUGGUCGCCGAGGCCAGUCGCAUCAUGGAUAUAUGUGACAAUUGGUCAUAUAUAUGCAGGCCUGACUUGUUUCUUCGAAGGGGACAAAUUUGUCCAAUAUAUGCAGAUUCCCCUUCAAUCCGAAGCAUAGGAAAUGGAAAAUUUACCAAGAGCUAUGUGAGAAAUCAUCAAGGGAACGACCUACGUAAAUGCGCUAAAAGGGAAGAGAUCACGUGGGGGGAAGGAAAGGAAGGGAAAUGGAGAAGAAAUAAUUCACUAGGAGCCGUCAUAAGGCUACCAGAGCCAAAGACGGUGUUCCAUGCGACUGCACGCGCUCGCAUGAGCGGUCGUUUGGUGUGGAAACCGAGGCAGAAAGGGGAGAAAGAGGAGCGUCAAGCACAGCCAAAACCUGUUCAUCAUCAUCUUCAUCCACAAACCCUAGCCACCACCAUUUUCAUCUCCCUACCCGUCUCCACCACCAUAGUGCUCUCUCACCUAGUUCAUACUUGUAAUCAUGCAUCUCACAAGGCAUCCACUGGCAACCCCAUGAGACGGAUAGGGCCUUCGUACAUUAGCCCAGUUGCGUCCAACAAGCGUCCAAUAGGAUUUACCGCCCGCGCCACCCGAUUUCUUCCGGCGACCGUUCCGGUGCUUCCCCGGUCUAUCCCCACGCGGCAGCGGUUUCCUCCGUCUCCCUCUAGUCACCGCCUCCUCGCGCGCGGUAGUCCUCCGACGAACAGCGCCCGGCCGCCCGCUGCCGCUUGGCGCCCGCAAGGUGUUCGACAAAAUGCCCGCAAGAUGAGUUCGUCGUAUGAUUCUUCUGAAGAAGAAUUCGAUAUGGAAGAGGAGGAGGAUCUUGCAAUGAUCCUAGCUAUGCACAUCAAUAAAAAACCGAAACACGGUGAUUCGGUUAUAGGUCGGCAGAAAAUUUGGAGGGAUAUGAUCGAUGCCCACAACAGAUUGAUGAGGCACUAUUUUGUGGAUAAUCCCACAUACCCCGAGUCGUACUUUCGUCGCCAGUUUAGGAUGGGCGCCGAGUUGUUUGGGCGCAUUGCAGAGAAACUAGCGAGCCAUGAUCGUUUUUUUCAACAGAGGAGGAAUGCCGCCAGAGAGCUCGGGCAUAGCACCUUUUAG
rnacentral:rRNA from 1 species